rnacentral:rRNA from 1 species
GAUGAACGCUGGCGGCGUGCCUAAUACAUGCAAGUCGAGCGAACAGACGAGGAGCUUGCUCCUCUGACGUUAGCGGCGGACGGGUGAGUAACACGUGGAUAACCUACCUAUAAGACUGGGAUAACUUCGGGAAACCGGCGCUAAUACCGGAUAAUAUAUUGAACCGCAUGGUUCAAUAGUGAAAGACGGUUUUGCUGUCACUUAUAGAUGGAUCCGCGCCGCAUUAGCUAGUUGGUAAGGUAACGGCUUAUCAAGGCAACGAUGCGUAGCCGACCUGAGAGGGUGAUCGGCCACACUGGAACUGAGACACGGUCCAGACGCCUACGGGAGGCAGCAGUAGGGAAUCUGCCGCAAUGGGCGAAAGCUUGACGGAGCAACGCCGCGUGAGUGAUGAAGGUCUUCGGAUCGUAAAACUCGGUUAUUAGGGAAGAACAAAUGUGUAAGUAACUAUGCACGUCUUGACGGUACCUAAUCAGAAAGCCACGGCUAACUACGUG